rnacentral:rRNA from 1 species
AGAGUUUGAUCCUGGCUCAGGAUGAACGCUGGCGGCGUGCCUAAUACAUGCAAGUCGAACGCGGGCACUUGUGCCCGAGUGGCGAACGGGUGAGUAAUACAUAAGUAACCUGGCCUUUACAGGGGGAUAACUGCUGGAAACGGCAGCUAAGACCGCAUUGGUAGGGACACUGCAUGGUGACCGUAUUAAAAGUGCUGCAAGGCACUGGUAGAGGAUGGACUUAUGGCGCAUUAGCUGGUUGGUGAGGUAACGGCUCACCAAGGCGACGAUGCGUAGCCGACCUGAGAGGGUGACCGGCCACACUGGGACUGAGACACGGCCCAGACUCCUACGGGAGGCAGCAGUAGGGAAUUUUCGGCAAUGGGGGGAACCCUGACCGAGCAACGCCGCGUGAAGGAAGAAGGAAUUCGUUCUGUAAACUUCUGUUAUAAAGGAAGAAGGACGGAUGGAGGAAAUGACAUCCGAGUGACGGUACUUUAUGAGAAAGCCACGGCUAACUACGUGCCAGCAGCCGCGGUAAUACGUAGGUGGCAAGCGUUAUCCGGAAUUAUUGGGCGUAAAGAGGGAGCAGGCGGCAGCAAAGGUCUGUGGUGAAAGACUGAAGCUUAACUUCAGUAAGCCAUAGAAACCGGGCAGCUAGAGUGCAGAAGAGGAUCGUGGAAUUCCAUGUGUAGCGGUGAAAUGCGUAGAUAUAUGGAGGAACACCAGUGGCGAAGGCGACGAUCUGGCCUGCAACUGACGCUCAGUCCCGAAAGCGUGGGGAGCAAAUAGGAUUAGAUACCCUAGUAGUCCACGCCGUAAACGAUGAGAAGGAAGUGUUGGAAGUUAAAUUUCAUUGUAGCAGUUAACGCAGUAAGUACUCAGCCUGAGUAGUACGUUCGCAAGAAUGAAACUCAAAGGAAUUGACGGGGGCCUGCACAAGCGGUGGAGCAUGUGGUUUAAUUCGAAGCAACGCGAAGAACCUUACCAGGUCUUGACAUACUCAUAAAGGAUCCAGAGAUGGAUAGAUAGUUAUAUGAGAUACAGGUGGUGCAUGGUUGUCGUCAGCUCGUGUCGUGAGAUGUUGGGUUAAGUCCCGCAACGAGCGCAACCCUUGUCGUUAGUUACCAUCAUUAAGUUGGGGACUCUAGCGAGACUGCCAGUGACAAGCUGGAGGAAGGCGGGGAUGACGUCAAAUCAUCAUGCCCCUUAUGGCCUGGGCUACACACGUACUACAAUGGCGGCUACAAAGAGCAGCGAGACAGGGAUGUCGAGCGAAUCUCAUAAAAGCCGUCCCAGUUCGGAUUGGAGGCUGCAACCCGAAUCCAUGAAGUUG